rnacentral:rRNA from 1 species
UACGUAGGGUGCAAGCGUUAAUCGGAAUUACUGGGCGUAAAGCGUGCGCAGGCGGUUUUGUAAGUUUGUCGUGAAAGCCCCGGGCUCAACCUGGGAAUUGCGAUGAAGACUGCAAGGCUUGAAUCUGGCAGAGGGGGUAGAAUUCCACGUGUAGCAGUGAAAUGCGUAGAGAUGUGGAGGAACACCGAUGGCGAAGGCAGCCCCUGGUCAAGAUGACGCUCAUGCACGAAAGCGUGGGGAGCGAACAGG